AGUGAACGCUGGCGGUAGGCCUAACACAUGCAAGUCGAACGGCAGCACAGUAAGAGCUUGCUCUUACGGGUGGCGAGUGGCGGACGGGUGAGGAAUACAUCGGAAUCUACUUUUUCGUGGGGGAUAACGUAGGGAAACUUACGCUAAUACCGCAUACGACCUACGGGUGAAAGCAGGGGAUCUUCUGACCUUGCGCGAUUGAAUGAGCCGAUGUCGGAUUAGUUAGUUGGCGGGGUAAAGGCCCACCAAGGCGACGAUCCGUAGCUGGUCUGAGAGGAUGAUCAGCCACACUGGAACUGAGACACGGUCCAGACUCCUACGGGAGGCAGCAGUGGGGAAUAUUGGACAAUGGGGGCAAGCCUGAUACAGCCAUACCGCGUGGGUGAAGAAGGCCUUCGGGUUGUAAAGCCCUUUUGUUGGGAAAGAAAAGCAGCAGGUUAAUACCACGCUGUUCUGACGGUACCCAAAGAAUAAGCACCGGCUAACUUCGUG
rnacentral:rRNA from 1 species